UGCACAAUGGGCGAAAGCCUGAUGCAGCAAUGCCGCGUGUGUGAAGAAGGCCUGCGGGUUGUAAAGCACUUUCAGUAGGGAGGAAACAGUUGCGGGUUAAUAUCCCGCGACCUUGACGUUACCUACAGAAGAAGCACCGGCUAACUCUGUGCCAGCAGCCGCGGUAAUACAGAGGGUGCAAGCGUUAAUCGGAAUUACUGGGCGUAAAGCGCGCGUAGGCGGCUUGGUCAGUCGGAUGUGAAAGCCCCGGGCUUAACCUGGGAAUUGCAUUCGAUACUGCCAGGCUAGAAUGUAGUAGAGGGAAGUGGAAUUCCAGGUGUAGCGGUGAAAUGCGUAGAUAUCUGGAGGAACAUCAGUGGCGAAGGCGACUUCCUGGACUAACAUUGACGCUGAGGUGCGAAAGCGUGGGGWGCAAACAGGAUUAGAUACCCUGGUAGUCCACGCCGUAAACGAUGUCAACUAGACGUUG
rnacentral:rRNA from 1 species